rnacentral:rRNA from 1 species
GACAGAGGGUGCAAACGUUGUUCGGAAUUACUGGGCGUAAAGGGCGCGUAGGCGGCCUUCUAAGUCGAACGUGAAAUCCCCGGGCUCAACCCGGGAACUGCGUCCGAUACUGGAAGGCUUGAAUCCGGGAGAGGGAUGCGGAAUUCCUGGUGUAGCGGUGAAAUGCGCAGAUAUCAGGAAGAACACCCGUGGCGAAGGCGGCUCUCUGGUACGUGACUGACGCUGAGACGCGAAAGCGUGGGGAGCAAACAGG